UGCAAACGCUGCUAUUUAAAUAGUAGAGGAAAGUCCACGCUCACACGCUUCCUGUAAUGGGCGUAAGUGUUCAUGCAAAGGGAACAAAUAACCUUUGGUAGGAUUUAAUCCUAACGGCGCCGAGGUAACCUAAGUUUCAAAUAUGGUUAUAUUAGGUAUAAAGUGCCAUAGUGACGAAUUGAUUUGGAAACAAAUUAAGUGGAACGGGUAAACCCCAUGAGUGAGAAACCCAAAAUUGGUAGGGGAACUCUUACAAAGGAAUAAAAACGGAGUAAGGGAUGUUUUAUAACAUAGAUAAAUGUUUGCAGCCAAGUAAUUGGUACAGAACGUGGCUUAUU
rnacentral:RNase_P_RNA from 1 species